rnacentral:rRNA from 1 species
GUGGGGAAUCUUCCGCAAUGGACGAAAGUCUGACGGAGCAACGCCGCGUGAGUGAUGAAGGUCUUCGGAUUGUAAAGCUCUGUUAAUCGGGACGAAAGAGCCUAGUGUGAAUAAUGCUAGGAAGUGACGGUACCGGAAUAGAAAGCCACGGCUAACUACGUGCCAGCAGCCGCGGUAAUACGUAGGUGGCAAGCGUUGUCCGGACUUAUUGGGCGUAAAGCGCGCGCAGGCGGAUCUGCCAGUCUGUCUUAAAAGUUCGGGGCUUAACCCCGUGAUGGGAUGGAAACUACAGAUCUAGAGUAUCGGAUAGGAAAGUGGAAUUCCUAGUGUAGCGGUGAAAUGCGUAGAUAUUAGGAAGAACACCAGUGGCGAAGGCGACUUUCUGGACGAAAACUGACGCUGAGGCGCGAAAGCCAGGGGAGCGAACGGGAUUAGAAACCCUUGUAGUCC